GAUCAUGGCUCAGAUUGAACGCUGGCGGAAUGCUUUACACAUGCAAGUCGAGCGGCAGCGCGGGGGCAACCCUGGCGGCGAGCGGCGAACGGGUGAGUAAUGCAUCGGAACGUACCCGGUCGUGGGGGAUAACGUGGCGAAAGUCACGCUAAUACCGCAUACGUCCUGAGGGAGAAAGCAGGGGAUCGCAAGACCUUGCGCGAUUGGAGCGGCCGAUGUCUGAUUAGCUAGUUGGUGGGGUAAAGGCUCACCAAGCCAACGAUCUGUAGCUGGUCUGAGAGGACGACCAGCCACACUGGAACUGAGACACGGUCCAGACUCCUACGGGAGGCAGCAGUGGGGAAUUUUGGACAAUGGGCGCAAGCCUGAUCCAGCCAUUCCGCGUGCAGGAUGAAGGCCUUCGGGUUGUAAACUGCUUUGUACGGAACGAAACGGCGAGCUCUAAUACAGUUUGCUAAUGACGGUACCGUAAGAAUAAGCACCGGCUAACUACGUG
rnacentral:rRNA from 1 species